CAUGCACCGGUGGGGUCCCUCAGACUGGCCUGCACCCUCUUGCAAUCUGGGACCCUUUGGGAGAUGUCAGAGAGCCAGUUUUGGCCCGAUCCUGCAGGCCAGGCUGAGGGACUCCACUGGUGCAAG
rnacentral:pre_miRNA from 1 species